rnacentral:rRNA from 1 species
UACGUAGGGCGCAAGCGUUGUCCGGAAUUAUUGGGCGUAAAGAGCUCGUAGGCGGUUUGUCGCGUCUGCUGUGAAAACCUAAGGCUCAACCUUGGGCUUGCGGUGGGUACGGGCAGACUAGAGUGAUGUAGGGGAGACUGGAAUUCCUGGUGUAGCGGUGAAAUGCGCAGAUAUCAGGAGGAACACCGGUGGCGAAGGCGGGUCUCUGGGCCGAUACUGACGCUGAGGAGCGAAAGCGUGGGGAGCGAACAGG